GAUCCUGGCUCAGGAUGAACGCUAGCUACAGGCUUAACACAUGCAAGUCGAGGGGCAGCAUGACGGAAGCUUGCUUUCGUUGAUGGCGACCGGCGCACGGGUGAGUAACGCGUAUCCAACCUGCCCUUGUCCAUCGGAUAACCCGUCGAAAGGCGGACUAACACGAUAUGCAGUUCUCAGCAGGCAUCUAACGAGAACGAAUAGUGAGGAGAAGGAGUGGGGAGGUAGCGU
rnacentral:rRNA from 1 species